UACGUAGGGAGCAAGCGUUGUCCGGAAUCAUUGGGCGUAAAGCGCGCGUAGGCGGCCCCGUAAGUCCGCUGUGAAAGUCAAAGGCUCAACCUUUGAAAGCCGGUGGAUACUGUGGGGCUAGAGUCCGGAAGAGGCGAGUGGAAUUCCUGGUGUAGCGGUGAAAUGCGCAGAUAUCAGGAGGAACACCGGUGGCGAAGGCGGGUCUCGUGGGCCGAUACUGACGCUGAGGAGCGAA
rnacentral:rRNA from 1 species